AACGAACGCUGGCGGCAUGCCUAACACAUGCAAGUCGAACGAGACCUUCGGGUCUAGUGGCGCACGGGUGCGUAACGCGUGGGAAUCUGCCCUCAGGUACGGAAUAACUCAGGGAAACUUGAGCUAAUACCGUAUAAUGACUUCGGUCCAAAGAUUUAUCGCCUGGGGAUGAGCCCGCGUCGGAUUAGCUAGUUGGUGAGGUAAAGGCUCACCAAGGCGACGAUCCGUAGCUGGUCUGAGAGGAUGAUCAGCCACACUGGGACUGAGACACGGCCCAGACUCCUACGGGAGGCAGCAGUGGGGAAUAUUGGACAAUGGGCGCAAGCCUGAUCCAGCAAUGCCGCGUGAGUGAUGAAGGCCUUAGGGUUGUAAAGCUCUUUUACCCGGGAAGAUAAUGACUGUACCGGGAGAAUAAGCCCCGGCUAACUCCGUGCCAGCAGCUGCGGUAAUACGGAGGGGGCGUAGCGUUGUUCGGAAUUACUGGGCGUAAAGCGCACGUA
rnacentral:rRNA from 1 species